UUUUUGUUUGUUUGUUUUUUGUUUUUUUCUUUUCAGUAGGGUGGGGGGGGGGGGAGGGCAAGCUGGAUUUACAAGUCACAACUGGACUGGACUGGCCUUUUUAUCUUUCCACUCUAUCAUGUAAGUAGCUGCUUUCUUGUCCUGCCUAUCCUUCAGGCAUCCCUAAAGCUCACUCUGAAGAUAGAAACAAACACAAAAUCUUCGAGUUAGAAGUUGAUCUGACACUGACAUGAAGGCAAGCAUUGAUUUCAUAUGAAUGUUGCAGAGGUGGUGGUGAUUGGAGAAAACAGUUCCCAGAUUGUAAGAGUUAACUGAAGAUAUUGACACAAUUAAAAAAAAAAAAAUCAGUAAAGGAAUGUAUAUAAUAUUGCUCUUGUGUUUUACAGUAAGAUUUGUUGCUCUCAGACUGUCUCUUGUAGACAUCUGAAGCUGCCGA